GAUUCAAACUUCUUACAUUUUCACCAUAGAAACCGAUAUUCAAGUAGUUCUACAAAAAUGGUACAACUUUUAUUUGCACUUUUGUCAAUAGAAUUAACAGUAAUUCUAAUACUAUCUUUUGCAAAUCCAAUACGAAAAUUAAUGGUGAAGGUGUUAGACCUUUUGAAGCGUGGAAGGGGUCCAUUAAUCAUAAAAACUAUAGCAACCACUGUAUUUAUUGUAUUUGGUUCCACCAUAUAUACUAUACUCAAAAUCCAUAAACGUUCAAUGGAUGCUGGCAUGGUUAAUCCAACAGAGGAAGUUCUAAUGGCACAUCAUCUCUUAGAAGCAUCUCUUAUGGAUGGAAAAAGGAUGAGAUAAAGAGCAUGAGAUCCGUGCUAAUGGGGGAGAAUACUUGGACACGUGAAGGCUUGAUGUAACUAUCCUAAUAUUAUUGGUGUAAUUCAACCGAGAACCUUCUUGGACUCACGAGUGUUGAAUGAAACUAUAUUGAUAUUAUCCGGAUGGUUUACAAGUGUUAUAUGGGGACAAGAAAUCAAGAAUGAGUGGCACUACUUCUUUAGAUGCACAAAAGUGGAAGAGAAUUGGCAUGAAGAUGGGAUGUGGAACUAGAGAAGAAAAAUAAAAUUCUUAGAAAAGGAAUAUGUGCAUAAAUAUUGAGUAUUGAGUCUUGUUAUUUAGUCUUGUAGGUUGAUGUUUCAACAUAAAUGUAUAGGGACCAAAACAUUAAUAUAACAGAAAUUUUCCUUAAUCUUGUUCAUGCUUUUAAGCUUUCCGCAAAACAAGAUCUAACAACAUUAAUUAUU